rnacentral:lncRNA from 1 species
UUUCUCCAGCGGCUCCCAGGGCAUUUCUGAAGCAGUUCACUUCUUGCCCAGGACUCCCAGUUUUGAAUGCUAGAUGGCGCUGUAACCUGAUUGAAAGAAGACUGUCCCAACAAAGAGAUAUCAGCAACUUUUAUAACUAGAUUACAUAAGAGACCUCUAUGCAUCAGUAAGAGAAAAAGUCAUAAGCCAGGGGAGAUGGACAAAUUAUUUGAAAAACUACCACAACAUAGGAGAGGAUUAAACAUGUUCACUGGCAAGUUGUAUUUCCACGUUGUCCUUCUACAACAGUGUACCCAAGCACACAUUGCUGCCCUGUGAACACCAAGGACAUCCGCCAGAGGUCGGGGUCACCAGGACGCUGACAUUCUGGAAGUAAACAACAUUAAUGGGGAAAUAUGGUGAAUUAGAAACGAUCAAUUUGUAUGGAGGAAUAAGCUGGGAGGAAGGGAAUGGUAGUGGAACUCCUCCAUACUUCUCAGUUCAUCUCUCUCUCCAACUGCCUGAUGCAGCUUCCAUCAACAGAGAAGUGCUGGCACUGAGAAGGUGCCCCUCCUGCUCCAUGAAGAUGCACUUGAUCCAG